UUUAUUGCUAAUGGAGCAUGUACAAGCAAUGAAUUUGGUGUGCAAAUGCAAGGAUUCAGUAUCAUUUGAUUGACCAAGUGGUUCAAAUGUCAUCUCAACUUGUGUUUGGUGCAGUAGGCAUUAGAGUAAUUUCAAAAGUCAAAGGCGUGGCACGUGUUCUUCUUUUCAAAUGUUCUUCAAUGCCGCACGAAAAAACAUACAAGGAAAAUUACUUGAGCCACAGGAGACCAGCCGAGAAUCAGGCAUCUUGGCUUGUCACGCAAGGUAAUUGAAUGAUUAAAUAACGCCACCAACUUUGAAAGCUCAUUUCAAUAAUACACUGUGAAAAAUGAAUAAGAAAAAAAAGGAAAAAAUAAUAAAUAACAUUGCAAUUGCCUUGUAAUCAUGAUUAUAAAAGCUAAACACUGUUUGCUUUAUGAAAUAUUUUCAAGUUACAUUGGUCAACAGAGCAAUGCCUUGUAUACAAGCCAUUUUGCAGAUUCGAGUCAUUAGUAAAGACGUAUAUUAUGAUAAUGAUGCCAUCUGUCAGCAAAAAAGGUCAGACUACGGUUAUAGAGCAACAACACAGCAUCAGUAAAUGCAAAAAAAAACAUUCAAUGCGAUUAACGUCAUAAAAAGUGGCACCUUGACCAUGGCCGUUCCCAUCAAAAAGUCGUUCAACGUCAGCCCGUCCGGAAACUGGACAUGACGCAUCCUGCGCUCCUUUCGGCCGUUGCAAGAAAAAGAAGAAAAAAAAAAAAAAAAA